UACGAAGGGGGCUAGCGUUGUUCGGAAUUACUGGGCGUAAAGCGUGCGCAGGCGGCUUCUCAAGUCAGGGGUGAAAGCCCAGAGCUCAACUCUGGAAUUGCCUUUGAGACUGAGUGGCUUGAGUACGGGAGAGGUGAGUGGAAUUCCCAGUGUAGAGGUGAAAUUCGUAGAUAUUGGGAAGAACACCGGUGGCGAAGGCGGCUCACUGGCCAGUAACUGACGCUCAUGCACGACAGCGUGGGGAUCAAACAGG
rnacentral:rRNA from 1 species